AGAGUUAUAGCUCAGUGGUAGAAUACUUGCCUAGCAUGCAGGAGUCCUGGGUUCAAUCCCCAGCACUACCA
rnacentral:tRNA from 1 species